rnacentral:rRNA from 1 species
GACGAACGCUGGCGGCGUGCUUAACACAUGCAAGUCGAACGGAAAGGCCCUGCUUUUGUGGGGUUCUCGAGUGGCGAACGGGUGAGUAACACGUGAGUAACCUGCCCUUGACUUUGGGAUAACUUCAGGAAACUGGGGCUAAUACCGGAUAGGAGCUCCUGCUGCAUGGUGGGGGUUGGAAAGUUUCGGCGGUUGGGGAUGGACUCGCGGCUUAUCAGCUUGUUGGUGGGGUAGUGGCUUACCAAGGCUUUGACGGGUAGCCGGCCUGAGAGGGUGACCGGCCACAUUGGGACUGAGAGACGGCCCAGACGCCUACGGGAGGCAGCGGUGGGGAAUAUGGCAGAGUGGGCGGAAGCCUGAUGCGGCAACGCCGCGUGCGGGAUGACGGCCUUCGGGUUGUAAACCGCUUUCGCCUGUGACGAAGCGUGAGUGACGGUAAUGGGUAAAGAAGCACCGGCUAACUACGUG